GGCCGGUUAGCUCAGACAGUUGAGCGUGGCGCUAACAACGCCAAGGACGUGGGAUCGAUUCCCAUUCGAUCCC
rnacentral:tRNA from 1 species